GACGAACGCUGGCGGCGUGCUUAACACAUGCAAGUCGAACGGACAGGCCCUGCUUUUGUGGGGUGCUCGAGUGGCGAACGGGUGAGUAACACGUGAGUAACCUGCCCUUGACUUUGGGAUAACUUCAGGAAACUGGGGCUAAUACCGGAUAGGAGCUCCUGCUGCAUGGUGGGGGUUGGAAAGUUUCGGCGGUUGGGGAUGGACUCGCGGCUUAUCAGCUUGUUGGUGGGGUAGUGGCUUACCAAGGCUUUGACGGGUAGCCGGCCUGGGAGGGUGACCGGCGCCAUUGGUACUGAGGGAGGCAGCAGUCGCCAACGGGAGGCAGCGGGGGGAAAUAUUACAGAGUGAGGGGGAGCGAGAGGCGGAGGCGCCGGGUGCGGAAAACCGGCUUUCGGGUGAAGAACAGCUUUCUCCGGUGCCAAGCCGGGCUUGACGGUAAUGGAUAAAAAAGCACCGGCUAACUACGUG
rnacentral:rRNA from 1 species